GUCGCGCGCGCCGCGUUGCUAUGGUGACGGGUGCCCGCACCAUCUAGGAGCGCUCCGCAGGAGGCCAUACCUCCGGAGCCUAGUGUCUUCUGCCCUCCUUAGUCAUGGCGCAGGCCCAGGAGGACAGCGACCCCAUUGGAUCCAUCCUAAUCCAGGUUCAUGAGGACCUUCAUCAGUUAAAGGAAAAAUUAGUAAAAUUCUCAGCCGAGGAGACAAGGAGCACUCUAGACAUUCAAAAUCUUGAGACAGCAAUCCAAAGGACUGAAAUGGGGUUAAAGAUUCACAUCGACAAGUAUCUAGGUGUUGUAAACCAGGAGGUGUUAAUGGCUCCUGUGAAGAAAAGCUUGGAAUCCCCUGUCACUUCCAAAUGGUCGAUUCCAACUGUAAUUGACCAGAAAUCCUUUAUUUUCCCCAUGGAUUCUGAUUUUUGGCGACCUCAAAAGCAUCGCGGUUCAUUGCUACACGGCCUUAGAAGAGCAAAGCCAAAGAUACAGUUGACUACGAAGGUCAUGCAGGACCCUGAGAACAAGCACCACAGGGCUGCUGUAACUGCUAGCUAUGGGAUCAGUUUGCCACAUAUUAACCAGAGGAAAGCCCAGGAUAAGGUUCAGCGGUUAAUAAAAGGGUCCACGAUCUCCAACCUCACAGUUCUGCCACCCUCUCAUCGCACUGACCCCCAUUUUAUCCCCAUACCUGUCUUGCAGAAGGAUGCCAGUAAAGGCGUCUUAAGUAUGAUUGAGCGAGGGCUGAUCCCCCCAACAGCGAGGAUUACCUUUCAGAACCCACCCAUUAAACCCCAAGCACUUCCUCUGCACAGUUUUGAUGAGCAUCGUAAGGUACCCAUGGAAGCCUCCUUUCCUCUCGCUCUCAAGCCACGCCCAGUUCCUGAAGAAGUGGAGGAGCCUUCUCACCAGAUAGAAAUACCCAAGGGGAGAGCCAAAAGGUCAAGAGGACCGCUCAGAAGAAAGGGCAUGAAGAUUAGGACACCGUCUAAGACUAGGAAAUCACCAUGGGAUUAUAUAUUUUCUGUUUACAACGGCUGUGUAGACAGGACAGCCCCAGACUUCUUAGCAUUCAAAUCACGCUUCAAAUUAAUCUGGGGGAGUAUUUUUUCUUUCCUGGAACAAAUUGAGAAAUUUCUCAAGGACUAUGCAAUAUCUGAAGCCAAAAUAAAAGGGAAGAGUCUGGUGUCCCUGCUUCCAGAGUUUGAGCUGAAGAACAAAUUAACCAGAAAUGAUGUUCUGGCUGUGUUAGAGAACCCAGUUCACAUUCAGAUGCUGUUAAACCUUCCGGGACAGAGGUACAAGGGCCAAGAUGGAAAGGCAGAAGCUGCCACCAAGAUCCAAGCCACGUGGAAAAGUUACAAGGCAAGAUCUUCUUUCAUUUCUUAUCGCCAGAAGAAAUGGGCCUCAGGUGUGAUCGCCCUGGCGUGGCUUUUACAUUGCCACAGGACAAGACUAAAGAGGAUAGUGAAGGAAUCCCGACAGAGACACCUGGAGAACUUCCGCAUUCGAGCCCAGCAUCUGGCAGCCAACUGGAGUCGCAUCAGGACCUCCAGGAGGACUAUUAUCCAUAUACCAUCAUUAGGGUACUCCCAGUAUGUGAGAAAACACAUUUUUGAUUUGGACGUAGAACAGAACAUGCAGUUGGGGAGGCUGUGCGACAUCAUAGAUGCCAACGUCAAUGUCAUCUACAUCUGUUCCCAUCCUAUGACGGAUGAGUUAAAGCUGUACUACAGGAAACUCCUGAGUCUACAAGCAGCUGUCAAAACGGGGUACUACGGGGAUCGGACUGACCUGCAGAACAGGUUCAGAAUUAUCACCCCUGAAGCUGUAAACGUCUUCACUAAGCAUCACAUGUGCCUGGCCACUCACCUGAUGUACAGUCCCAAGGCAAUCAAAAGAAUAAAAAAUCUCAUCCGAGGAGAAGAGGCCUACAUCGUGGGCGGGAUCCUCCACAGAGACGACUUAGCUGUGGCCGAUAUGCUGAAUGUCCCCAUCCUGGGCUCAGAGCCUGAGCUGGUUCACCUGUACAGUGCCAAGUCUGGAAGCAAGCGGAUCUUUGAUAAUGCUAAUGUGCCAAUGCCUCCUGGAAUAUAUGACAUCUAUACUUACCAACAGAUGAUAGAACAGUUGAGCCAGUUGGUGACUGAUAACCUGGGAAUCCGACGCUGGGUCUUUAAAAUGAACACGGAAUUUGGAGGAAAUGGGACAGCAUUUUGUGACAUUCCUUCCCAUCUACAGUGCUACAACUGGGUGCUGAAGGAAAGAAACAGAUUUGGCCAUGAGGACUGGAAGAAGAAGUGGGCACAAGAGUCAGCUCUGGUGAAGAUCUCCGAGGAGCUGGCGGGCAUUUUAGCACAGCACGUACAGCUAGUCAAUGAGAAACGGUUCCCGACGUGGAGGAAAUUCCUCCACAUGUUUCUCACUCAAGGUGGCGUGAUUGAAGCAUACCCACCUGCAGACAGCGUCACCAACCUCACAGUAGACAUGCUGAUAGAACCUGAUGGAGAAGUCAGGGUGCUGUCAAUGGGAGACCAGCUUCAUGCUGAUGGCCCCUUUAUUUCUUCUGGUACCACCAUGCCUCAGACCUCAGUGGAUCCCCAAGUUCUCAAUUCUUUGUGCCUCCAAAUUGGAAAUAUCUGCAAAGAGAAAGAUGUGGUUGGUUAUUUUUCUAUAGAUCUGGUGACUUUCAUUGAUCCGAGCACCUUAGAGCAGCAGGUAUGGACAACAGGCCUCAACCUCUCAUACAGUGACCAGCUAGCCAUGACGCAGCUCACCCUCUACCUGACAAAUGGUCAUCUGAAUUGUAGUCUGAGCACCCUGGAAGUGCCCCGUUUUACUGAAGAUUCAGAAAGGGAAAGGAAGCGCCUUAGCAUCCAGGCAGAGCUGAUGUGUAAGGCCCAUGGCAUUGGCUAUGACCUUGAGGACAGACAAGGAACUGUUUUUAUAUUAUAUGAAUCUCUGAAGAGAUACAAGUUGGGCAUGUUAUUGCCACCUUGUGAGAUUGAAAAUACUCAUUAAAUUCCAUCACCAGCCACACAAAUGAGAGGGCGAUUGUUUUUAAGCAUGUGAGGAGAAUCGCUGGUAAACUCAUUUGUUUGGAUAUCAUUAACAGAACAAUCGGUGUGGAUCUCCAGGGGGUCCUCAUGACCUUUGCUCGCAAUCUCUUCAUCAUCCAUCAAGAAAUAUCAGCACCUGAUAUGCAAGGCGAGACCAAUUUUAAGACUACCAUUGAUGAUAUUGAAACCAUUUUAGGAGUAACAGAAGAAAAUAAAAUGAUAUUUGUAAGAGAAAAACAGAGCAAAGAGGAGGAAGAUAACCUUUAUGAACCUGUUGAAAUACACUCAGAAAUAGUCUGACUUUGGAUACCUGUCUAGAGCAAGAAAGAAUGUUUGCUUUGCAAUUAGUAUAAAAGUGGGGAAGUUAGUUUGCUUUGUUUGCCAAGAGAUAAAUCAGAACAAAUUGUAAUGUAAUCUUUAAAAUCUUGUUUAUUAUGCAACGUUAUUUUACUCAUUAAAUUUAAACCUACCGGUGUUUUCGGUGUGAAUGCUAAGAACCCCUUCCUCCUCCCAAAGUAACCACGGGGGGGGGGGGGAAGUCCACUACUGCAUCCGCUUCUCUGUAAAUUUGUAACUGUAUGAGUCACUCUUGCUUUCUUGCGUUUUACAAGUUUUCUCCUGCUUCCAAAAGCCACUUAGCUUCUGCAUUUAAAACACCGAAUAAACCAGGAUGACCACUAUUUGUCAAAGCACAGUGUCCUCUUUUCCCAAAAUAAAUGACAUCAGUUUUAAGUGACUAUCAUCCAUUCUACAGUGUACCCAGCCCUAUUACUUGUUCUCACUGUCACACAGUAGGAAAAGCCAAUGUGGAGUUAACUGUGGCAUCAGAGUGUGUCUAGGUGGCAGUAUCUGCUCUGAGUUUAAGACUAUGUAAUUGGAGCCCUUCGCUGGAAUG